GACGAACGCUGGCGGCGUGCUUAACACAUGCAAGUCGAACGGAAAGGCCCCCACUUUUUUGGUGGGGGUGCUCGAGUGGCGAACGGGUGAGUAACACGUGGGUGAUCUGCCCUGUACUUCGGGAUAAGCUUGGGAAACUGGGUCUAAUACCGGAUAGGACCAUGGUUUAGUGUCUCAUGGUGGAAAAAUUAUUGUUUUGGUGAAGGAUGAGCUCGCGGCCUAUCAGCUUGUUGGUGGGGUAAUGGCCUACCAAGGCGUCGACGGGUAGCCGGCCUGAGAGGGUGGACGGCCAGAUUGGGACUGAGAUACGGCCCAGACUCAUACGGGAGGCAGCAGUGGGGAAUAUUGCACAAUGGGCGCAAGCCUGAUGCAGCGACGCCGCGUGGGGGAUGACGGCCGUCGGGUGGGAAACUCCUUUCGUUAGGGACGAAGCCGCACCUUUUUUGGGUGUGGUGACGGUACCUUUGUGAAGAAGCACCGGCUAACUACGUG
rnacentral:rRNA from 1 species